UAUGGCUUAGUCCCAUGACCAAAGCUGCAGUUCUGCUAUAUGCAAUGGGUAAAGAGUUUGGAAAGCGAGCAGGGAAAAUACAUUUAACACCAAAACGCUGCCUGUUCAAUGUGGGAAAUCUUAUGACCCUCAGAUUUACCAUUUACUGCUGGGAGCUGAGCUGUGACAUAACCUCAUCCAGCAGCAAGGCCUGAGGGAACCCACCCUGCAGGCGCUCACUUGAGGACUACAUAUCCCAGAAUGCAUUGCUCUCGCUCCGGCCCUGUGCUGCGGGCGGAACUACAGCUCCCAUCAGUGCUCCACACCGCGCUGCACGCUGGGAGUUGUAGUCCCGCCGGACGUUGGUCCGGAGCGGCACCUCCCUCCCACUGCCGCCCGGCCUCGGCCCCCCGCCCCGCUCCGCGCUCCUCCCCGCGCCGCCGGCGGUUGUACCUCGGUAGACGGAAGCCGAGGAGGGAACGAGUGAGUCGGGGAGGUCGGAGCAGCGCGAUGGGGGAUUCCAAAGUGAAGGUGGCGGUGCGUGUCCGCCCUAUGAACCGGCGAGGGUCACGAGGAAUGUUCUUUCCUUCCCUCUGCACCAAAGGGCUUAAAACUACAAACCUGUCAGAUGGCUGCAACUGGAGGAAUUGAAGCUUUGAAACGUUCCUGGUGUUUACAUGUGGUGGUAGUGGUUGUCUUCAGUGUUUGAAUUAUGAAUUUCUUAAGGCGAGGGUUUAUUAGGUUAAUAAAAGUGGUAUGUUUAACCA
rnacentral:lncRNA from 1 species